UUGAAUCAGUUGUUUAACCUAGGACAUCCUAAAUAGGUUAACAAGGUAUUAGAAGUAAAAAUUACUAUACCUUAAUUUCUAUUUUUUUAAAAAAAUUUCUAUCUUUAUUUUUAGGCAUGUUUGCUAUGUCCGAAGAAUAUAGAGGCUUUAAUCCUCAGGGAGCUCUCCUUUAUGAAAUAAAAAAUUCCAAGAUGCAGCUAUUCAUUUCAAAGAAGCAAUCCAGGUGGCUCCUUACCGGCAUGAACCACACAAAGGCUUGAUCGAUUGUUACAUAGCAAUGCACCGCAUUCGAGAAGCUGUCACAAUUGCAAGUAACGCUUGCAAACAAUUGGGUCAGACCCCUCGAGCUCUAGUGCUUUAUGCUACAGUCUUAAUGAAGGAUCCUGUCACAGUCUGCAAGGCUAAAAAUCUUUGGAGAAAGCUCUAGCCCAAAAUGAAACAUGUUUGCCGGCUGUCUAUUUGUUGGCAGAAAUCUAUGAACAGGUAUGUAUUAAUUUAAUUUUUUGAAAACAAAAAAAAUUAAAUGGAGAGAGAUUGAAGUGAGUUGGCGGUGGGACGAUGUCACUAUUCAACUCUGUAGAGUGAAAAAUAAUAAACCAGUUCUAAUGCCAAGUCUCUAGGACAAAAUACACAGAGAUCAGCCUCAGAACAAUGUGUGGCUUGAGCAUUUGCCCCAGUAUUUUUCUAAUGGUACCUUCACAUUUUUCAUCCCUGCAUCCACAAUUAAACAACUAGUGCUGUACCUAGCGUGCAACAAUUACAGAAUUCAGGGUAAAAGAACAAUAUUAUGCACUACUGCUCUGGAUGAUGUCAACCCCAAGUUUUUCAAAGGCCAUUAUUUUUAUUGUUU
rnacentral:lncRNA from 1 species